rnacentral:lncRNA from 1 species
UGGACAUUAAAGUCUGACGUUUUCAUAACACAGAUUUGCAUUUUAAUGCUUCUCAGGCAUUUGUGUUGUUGUUAAACCACAUUAUUUUAAGGUGUUUAUCAAAUUGAUUUUUGUUACUUGUCAAAUUGCCAAAUUAUUUGGCUGUUCAAAUUUAAAGAAACAAAGGUGAAGUCACAAAUCCAGCUAAAUAUCGCUCAAUAUUCUGGCUUAGCUGUUUAGGGAAAUAUUUUACAAUGAUAUUAAAUUAAAGACUAGAAAAAAUUACAUCUGAUAAUGAUAUCAUAAACAAGCUUCAAGGAAGGAUUACUGUACAGUUGGUUACAGUUGUUCUUUAUACUUUAGUUGAAUUGUUGCGAAUCUGUGUCAAAUGGUUGCGUGAUGCGCCUAGUGUGUUAGUGGGUUAGGUUGUGCUUGUCACUUCUCGCUCUUCAGCUCUCACCACUAACAGCAGGCUCAAUGUGUUGUAGAAUGUGUAAGUCUCUCCCGUGCCCGUUCAUAACCUCUCCGCAUCAAGCCCUAUGGUAGUGCGUCUCCGCCUGCAGUACGGAUCAACUGGGCACUUUACAGCCCAAGGCUAGACUACGGAGGACUUGGAGGUGAUCUUCCUCUUAAGGUGCGGCACCCACAGAUCCGCAGUUAUAGGAUAACUAGUAUACACCGAGGGGGUGCUGCCCCGUUGACAUGCGGCAUGCUAGGCCCAACCAGUGCAGUAGGACAUGCCCUGAUGCCUAUGCACAGGUCCCCCAGAUAUGGGUGAAAUAGUUCCACUGCCUUGUGGAUGACUAGGAAUAGUAAACGGCUAUGGGAAACAACCCUGACAGAAACAUCGGUGUGAAGUCUCGUAGGCGGUUCUCUAUGUCAAACUCUGUCUAGACUCCUGUAACUUCUACAUUUAGUUUCAACUCCAGCCGUCUUGUCACUAGAUCCAGUUAAACCUAGACGAAAGAGUGAGGUUGUUUAUGCGCAGUCCUCCUUCACUUCAAAAAAAGUCAUCAGCGCAAUUCAUACUCUCUCUACAUGCAAGCACUUACACAACACCACAUACUUACAAGUUCUGUGGCGAUUGGCGAAUGACAAAGCAGCAGGUGAGGAAACACUGGAAGCUGUAGUCAUGACCCUCCACACAGGCGGCCCAAGCUAUUUAUCGUCAGCUCACUGACCGAGACAGUAGUAGCUCCCGUCAGCACCUCGGGUGACUCAGCAGCCCUCUUUAGGACCGCACUGCUCACCUCUGCAGGAUGAGGAAAGGACUAGAAAAGGUGUCUUAAACAUUGCCUGUCUCAACACACCUGGGCCAGUUUACCGCGACUGGCUAGGAUUCCCAACAGGCGGUCGGAAUACAAGAAAAAAAGCAUACAACCAAACAGCUGCCAAUCUUAUUUGGUGCAUGAAACGUCUGGACACUUCUUGACAAGGAUGCUACAGACAUACCAGAACGGCAAACAGCACUAGUAGCCAAGAGACUGUCAAGAUACAAUGAUGAUAUCGCACGCUUUGCCAAAGAAGGGCAGCUUAGAGAGCUAAAAGCUGGCUAUACAUUCUUUUGAAGUGGAUGCGGGAAGUAUGAGCGCCUUGAGUCGGGAAUUGUCUUUGCCAUGAAGAAUCAGUUAACAAGUAAUCUGCCCGCCUACCCAAAGGCGUAAACGAUCGCCUCAUGACGCUCAGACUACCAAUUAUGUUAAAGAAGCAUGCCACCAUUAUCAGUUGCUACGCCCAAACGAUGACAACAAAGACAAGUUCUACGAGGAACUCGACAAUGCGAUCACAUCCACUGCUAAGCAGGACGAACUGAUCAUUCUCUGAGAUUUUAAUGCUCGUGGACGUGUUAUUAUUAUUAUUUUUUUUUUUGAUACAAAUUAAAUGAAAUUAUUAGGCAAUAUCUGACCACGGGCUGAUAAAAAUUUUGAAGUCUUCGUUUUAUUCUUUUGUCGAUUUUGGGCAGUUGUCAUCAACUCUUGUUCACAUCUGUAAAACCCUGUUCUUGCAACGCUCUCAGCGCUUUAAUUAUUGUAUGUGGACGCCUGGCAGUUAGCAUGAUAUCACUUAGAGCGGAUGGGGUAAAUGGAAGUGCAUCCACUAUUUGCUUAUUUAUUGAUUUUCAAUUGAUAUUCUAGAAUUGUUUUCAAAAAAAGUUAAUUGAACAAAACAUAUAUUAUAUUCAAUUUAAGGUCGGUAUUUCCGAUAAACUAAUUAUGACCACCUGAUAUGAAAGUGGAUGGGAUAAAUCAACUCCUGACAUUAAAGAGAAUCUUCUUCGGCAUUUGAAAGAAACGGAUUGGCUAAUCAAAAAAGAGUUAAGAUUCUUAUCUUUCUCAGUCUUUCUGUCUUAAGGGCGCUUUCUGGUCCAUAGGCUCUGUAUGUCCUUUCGACUGCCGCUAUCAUAUACCGAUGCCUACCAGAGCAGCCUAAUGCAGACGUUUCUCCAUACUCCAUUUAUCGCUACUGUUUUGUUGAAGAGCUACCAGAGACGAAUUUUGCGUACCACAGAAACGGGGUUACAUAUUUCCUUAUUCGAGUAAUGCAAGUUUUUGGUGAAAGUUGUUUUUUCUCG